CUGUGGACCUCACCCCUGGCCAGAUCCGCUGCAGCAAGCGGGAGGUGGUGCUGACAAGGGGUGCGGAGCGGCUGGCCACCCGGGAAGAUGGAAGAAAGCUUUACAACUACUUCAGCUCCUUUGAGGGAAUUGGAGGCUUCCAAGACCACUUUGACUGGUGGGCCAGAAAUAAUUUCUGUUCCCACGGUGGGAAGCCCCUGUGGAUAGACCCCCACGAUCCUGAUGUUCACCACAUCUUCAUCGAUGACAAUAUCCGGCUGGACGAUGCAGACACCAUUGUCCACCCACAGGUGUUCUCGGAGCGGGGCAGCAGCAGCCCCAGGAGUGCACCCACCUCAGAGCUGUAUGACGUGUGCCUGGUGCAAACAGACCUGCUGGAGGCCAUUGCUGAUGAGGACUAUUUCCUGCGCUGCGUGAGGAGGUGCGAGGAGAACUAUGACCGCUACCUGGCCUGCACAGAGAAGGACACUCCAAGCCAGCAGUGGGAUGGACAGUGAUACCACCUCAUGGGGCCAAGGGGCUCCAGAAUGGGACACCCCCCACUUUCUACUGCGCACAGGCAAAGUCCUGGGCUGGGCUCCUGCUUCAAGCUGUUCCCUCUCCAAUGUGCAAUGUGGGCGUUCAGUCCUACCAGGAGCCUCCGUGCCCAAACACAAGUGUCCCGGGAGCUUGUGUGGUGGGAUUCCUGGAGGAAAUGGUUUUCCAUUCCUUGGCAGCGCUGCCCAUGGUGCCCUUCCUGCAUGAGGGCUGGGGCUCACUGUGCCCCUCUGCUCACCAGGCAGGUCCUUCCAUCCCUUGCACCAUGGCUGUGAUGCAGCCUCGCAAUGUUCACACCUCCCUUCCCACUCCCACGGCGGUGACUGGUGCGGAACAGGUGCCGGCGUGAGCACAGUGUUAUCGGCAGCACCCACAGGUGCCAUUUCUGGUGUGGCGUUCUCGGCGGAUGCCCUGUCACUUCUCCCUGUUUUUAAAGCAAACCUUUUUAGCUCA